CAUUUACGGCGAUUCUCCUCGCUCCCACGGAGGGCGCACACCUUUUAGGCUCAGCACUAACUCAGACCAUGUGGACCGCAGAUGAGAUUGCCCAGCUGUGUUACGAGCACUAUAGGACCAGGCUGCCCAAGCAGGGGAAGCCUGAGCCCAACCGUGAGUGGACAUUACUAGCAGCCGUGGUGAAGAUAAAACCUGCAGCUGACCAGGCCUGCGGCGGCACUAACAAACCAGCACAAGUGACAAAGGAAGUUGUCUCAAUGGGAACAGGAACGAAAUGCAUAGGCCAGUCCAAAAUGAGGAAGAGCGGAGACAUCAUCAAUGAUAGCCAUGCUGAGGUCAUAGCCAGGAGGAGUUUCCAAAGGUACCUUCUCCAUCAGCUCCACUUGGCGGCCGUCCUGAAGGAGGAUAGCAUCUUUGUCCCCGGAACUCAGAGAGGGCUGUGGAAACUCAGACCAGACCUCUUGUUUGUGUUUUUCUCCAGCCAUACACCCUGUGGGGAUGCCUCCAUCAUUCCAAUGCUUGAGUUUGAAGAUCAGCCCUGCUGUCCUAUCCAUAGAGAUUGGGCCAAUAACCCAUUAGUAGAAGCCAGUAGUGACCUGGAAGAUCCUGAAGAUAAAAAGAAAUGUGAAGACUUGGGUAGUCCUGUGACCAAAAAGAUGAGGCCUGAGCCUGGGAUUCCUGACAAUGUGGCCCACCAUCAGAGUUUUGGCCAUCAGGAAAGUGGCCCAGUCCCACCAAGUGUCAGUGGCUCUCAUCUUACUGCAGAGGAACUGGCCACUGUCACCGGAAUGGCCCCCAGUGGUGCCAAAGUAGUGGACGUUUAUAGAACCGGAGCCAAAUGUGUGCCGGGAGAAGCUGGAGACUCGGGGAAGCCUGGUGCUGCGUAUCACCAGGUGGGGCUGCUCCGAGUGAAGCCCGGCCGGGGAGACCGGACUUGCUCCCUGUCCUGCAGUGACAAGCUGGCCCGGUGGAACGUCCUCGGAUGCCAGGGGGCACUGUUGAUGCACCUUCUAGAAGAGCCCGUCUACCUGUCAGCCGUGGUGAUUGGGAGGUGCCCAUACAGCCAGGAGGCCAUGCAGAGAGCUCUGACCGGGAGGUGUCGGAAUGUCUCAGCGCUACCCAGAGGCUUUGGAGUUCAAGAAGUGAAAAUAGAGCAGUCAGGUUUCCUGUUUGAACAGAGCCGCUGCGCAGUGCAGGCCAAAAGGGCUGACGGCCCGGGCCGACUUGUUCCUUGUGGUGCAGCCAUCAGCUGGAGCGCAGUUCCUGAGCAGCCACUGGAUGUCACUGCCAAUGGUUUUCCGCAGGGAACAACGAAGAAAGCAAUCAGGUGCCUUCAGGCCAGAUCCCGGAUCAGCAAAGUGGAACUCUUUAGAUCAUUUCAGAGACUGCUAAGCAGUAUUUCAGAGGACAAGUGGCCAGACUCCCUCAGGAUGCGGAAGCUGGAGACGUACCACGAAUACAAGGAGGCUGCAUCUGCUUACCAGGAAGCCUGGAGUGUGCUCCGAGAGCAGGCCUUCGGAUCCUGGAUCAGAAACCCACCGGAUUAUCACCAGUUCAAAUAAGAAGGGCAAACUGCAACAAGCUUGUUGGUAGCAGAGUGUUUUCCAGCUCUUCAUACUGGACUGCUGCUUCCUUUGUGCUGGACAAGCCUUAGCUUUUCUUGCGGCCGCGUCAGGGAAAAAAAAAAAAAGAAAAGGUCUGCUAUCUACCAGAGCGACCUAUCUCUUCGGACAGAAUUCUGGAUCACGGAACAAUCUAUCCUUGAUUGAAGUAGCUUCCUCUGCUAACAUGGCAUCUGGCUGAUGACCUUGGCAUCUGUCCUAACUUGUGUGUUACUGCUUCUCUAAAAUAUGGAAUAAGAAUUUGGAAUGUGAUGCUCUAAAAGGAUUCUGCAGUAGCUCCAUUUUGUGUGUUCCUACAUUGAUUUGGCAAGUAUUUAUGGGGCUGAGAUGAUGCUCAAAUCUCUGCAAGUUUUAGAGCUUCCUUUGGCGUAGUGGACAUGUUUUGUGUACCCAGCCUUUCUUCCUUGGGGGAGCCACCCUAUCCUGCUCUGCCCAUGGAACUUGGUUGAAGCAAAACUUACUCCCUGGCUGUAGGAAUGGGAGCCAGCCCUGGACAGUCCCGGAACUGUGUGAGAGCUAGCAAGAAAGAGUCUCUCUCCUCUUGUACCAGGAACUGUAAGGGCCACCACACAGAGAUGCGGGUAGCUUGAGCAUGAAGGCAAGAACGAAGGAAACCAAAAUCGCUCCCAUGACCUUGUCCAGAUGCCAGUGCCCACUGUGGACUCCAACGCCAUUGUGAACACCCUUCUGUCAGCCCAUCCAUAACUGCCAGGUGGAGAGACCGGCUGGCAGCGGGAGAAUCAAGGCUUCGGGGCGACAGAGCGGCAGCACGGUCUCAACCAGCCUCCGGACGACAGCGCCCACUCACCUGCGCUGACACGGGCCGGCCAGACGGUGCCUCCCACCUCUUGGCGUCCUUCACGAAAGAUGAAGGCCCACAUGGGUUAGUAUGUUGCCUGCAUGCGCUUUGGAGGAAUUCUGUUCUAAAAUAAAGGAUGGUGCAGAAACUAUGGCGCAGGGGUUGCAAACCCAAGUAUUUCUAGGAGUAGAAAACUUAAGGAAAGUAGGUAGAG